UUAAGCGACUAAGCGUACACGGUGGAUGCCCUGGCAGUCAGAGGCGAUGAAGGACGUGCUAAUCUGCGAAAAGCGUCGGUAAGGUGAUAUGAACCGUUAUAGCCGGCGAUGUCCGAAUGGGGAAACCCAGUGUGAUUCGUCACACUAUCGUUAACUGAAUACAUAGGUUAACGAGGCGAACCGGGGGAACUGAAACAUCUAAGUACCCCGAGGAAAAGAAAUCAACCGAGAUUCCCCCAGUAGCGGCGAGCGAACGGGGAGCAGCCCAGAGUCUGAAUCAGCUUGUGUGUUAGUGGAACGGUCUGGAAAGUCCGACGGUACAGGGUGAUAGUCCCGUACACCAAAAUGCACAGGUUGUGAACUCGAAGAGUAGGGCGGGACACGUGGUAUCCUGUCUGAAUAUGGGGGGACCAUCCUCCAAGGCUAAAUACUCCUGACUGACCGAUAGUGAACCAGUACCGUGAGGGAAAGGCGAAAAGAACCCCGGCGAGGGGAGUGAAAAAGAACCUGAAACCGUGUACGUACAAGCAGUGGGAGCACCUUCGGGUGUGACUGCGUACCUUUUGUAUAAUGGGUCAGCGACUUAUAUUCUGUAGCAAGGUUAACCGUAUAGGGGAGCCGCAGGGAAACCGAGUCUUAACUGGGCGUUAAGUUGCAGGGUAUAGACCCGAAACCCGGUGAUCUAGCCAUGGGCAGGUUGAAGGUUGGGUAACACUAACUGGAGGACCGAACCGACUAAUGUUGAAAAAUUAGCGGAUGACUUGUGGCUGGGGGUGAAAGGCCAAUCAAACCGGGAGAUAGCUGGUUCUCCCCGAAAGCUAUUUAGGUAGCGCCUCGUGAAUUCAUCUUCGGGGGUAGAGCACUGUUUCGGCUAGGGGGUCAUCCCGACUUACCAACCCGAUGCAAACUACGAAUACCGAAGAAUGUUAUCACGGGAGACACACGGCGGGUGCUAACGUCCGUCGUGAAGAGGGAAACAACCCAGACCGCCAGCUAAGGUCCCAAAGUCAUGGUUAAGUGGGAAACGAUGUGGGAAGGCACAGACAGCCAGGAUGUUGGCUUAGAAGCAGCCAUCAUUUAAAGAAAGCGUAAUAGCUCACUGGUCGAGUCGGCCUGCGCGGAAGAUGUAACGGGGCUAAACCAUGCACCGAAGCUGCGGCAGCGACACUAUGUGUUGUUGGGUAGGGGAGCGUUCUGUAAGCCUGCGAAGGUGACCUGUGAGGGUUGCUGGAGGUAUCAGAAGUGCGAAUGCUGACAUAAGUAACGAUAAAGCGGGUGAAAAGCCCGCUCGCCGGAAGACCAAGGGUUCCUGUCCAACGUUAAUCGGGGCAGGGUGAGUCGACCCCUAAGGCGAGGCCGAAAGGCGUAGUCGAUGGGAAACAGGUUAAUAUUCCUGUACUUGGUGUUACUGCGAAGGGGGGACGGAGAAGGCUAUGUUAGCCGGGCGACGGUUGUCCCGGUUUAAGCAUGUAGGCUGGUUGUCCAGGCAAAUCCGGAUAAUCAAGGCUGAGGUGUGAUGACGAAGCACUACGGUGCUGAAGUAACAAAUGCCCUGCUUCCAGGAAAAGCCUCUAAGCAUCAGGUAACAUCAAAUCGUACCCCAAACCGACACAGGUGGUCAGGUAGAGAAUACCAAGGCGCUUGAGAGAACUCGGGUGAAGGAACUAGGCAAAAUGGUGCCGUAACUUCGGGAGAAGGCACGCUGGUGUGUAGGUGAAGUCCCUGCGGAUGGAGCUGAGACCAGUCGAAGAUACCAGCUGGCUGCAACUGUUUAUUAAAAACACAGCACUGUGCAAACACGAAAGUGGACGUAUACGGUGUGACGCCUGCCCGGUGCCGGAAGGUUAAUUGAUGGGGUUAUCCGUAAGGAGAAGCUCUUGAUCGAAGCCCCGGUAAACGGCGGCCGUAACUAUAACGGUCCUAAGGUAGCGAAAUUCCUUGUCGGGUAAGUUCCGACCUGCACGAAUGGCGUAAUGAUGGCCAGGCUGUCUCCACCCGAGACUCAGUGAAAUUGAACUCGCUGUGAAGAUGCAGUGUACCCGCGGCAAGACGGAAAGACCCCGUGAACCUUUACUAUAGCUUGACACUGAACAUUGAGCCUUGAUGUGUAGGAUAGGUGGGAGGCUUUGAAGCGUGGACGCCAGUCUGCGUGGAGCCAACCUUGAAAUACCACCCUUUAAUGUUUGAUGUUCUAACGUUGGCCCCUGACCGGGGUUGCGGACAGUGUCUGGUGGGUAGUUUGACUGGGGCGGUCUCCUCCCAAAGCGUAACGGAGGAGCACGAAGGUUAGCUAAUCCUGGUCGGACAUCAGGAGGUUAGUGCAAUGGCAUAAGCUAGCUUGACUGCGAGCGUGACGGCGCGAGCAGGUGCGAAAGCAGGUCAUAGUGAUCCGGUGGUUCUGAAUGGAAGGGCCAUCGCUCAACGGAUAAAAGGUACUCCGGGGAUAACAGGCUGAUACCGCCCAAGAGUUCAUAUCGACGGCGGUGUUUGGCACCUCGAUGUCGGCUCAUCACAUCCUGGGGCUGAAGUAGGUCCCAAGGGUAUGGCUGUUCGCCAUUUAAAGUGGUACGCGAGCUGGGUUUAGAACGUCGUGAGACAGUUCGGUCCCUAUCUGCCGUGGGCGCUGGAGAAUUGAGGGGGGCUGCUCCUAGUACGAGAGGACCGGAGUGGACGCAUCACUGGUGUUCGGGUUGUCAUGCCAAUGGCACUGCCCGGUAGCUAAAUGCGGAAGAGAUAAGUGCUGAAAGCAUCUAAGCACGAAACUUGCCCCGAGAUGAGUUCUCCCUGAGACUUUAAGUCUCCUGAAGGAACGUUGAAGACGACGACGUUGAUAGGCCGGGUGUGUAAGCGCAGCGAUGCGUUGAGCUAACCGGUACUAAUGAACCGUGAGGCUUAACCUU
rnacentral:rRNA from 1 species